rnacentral:rRNA from 1 species
GACGAACGCUGGCGGCGUGCUUAACACAUGCAAGUCGAACGGAGCGGCGGACGGGGGAGUAAUGCCUAGUAAUCUGCCUGGUAGUGGGGGAUAACGUCCGGAAAAGGGAGCUAAUACCACAUACUAUCCGAUGACCCUAGGUCGGAUUAGCUAGUUGGUGGGGUAAAGGCCUACCAAGGCGACGAUCCGUAACUGGCCUGAGGGGAUGAUCAGUCACACUGGAACUGAGACACGGUCAAGACUCCUACGGGAGGCAGCAGUGGGGAAUAUUGGACAAUGGGCGAAAGCCUGAUCCAGCCAUGCCGCGUGUGUGAAGAAGGUCUUCGGAUUGUAAAGCACUUUAAGUUGGGAGGCGUUACCAACAGAAUAAGCACCGGCUAACUUCGUGCCAGCAGCCGCGGUAAUAC